UACGUAGGGGGCUAGCGUUGUCCGGAAUCAUUGGGCGUAAAGCGCGUGUAGGCGGUCCGGUAAGUCCGCUGUGAAAGUCGGGGGGUCAACCCUCGGAUGCUGGUGGAUACUGUCGGGCUUGAGUACGGAAGAGGCGAGUGGAAUUCCUGGUGUAGCGGUGAAAUGCGCAGAUAUCAGGAGGAACACCAAUUGCGAAGGCAGCUCGCUGGGACGUUACUGACGCUGAGACGCGAAAGCGUGGGGGAGCAAACAGG
rnacentral:rRNA from 1 species